GUAGGUGGGGACGCGGCGGCGCUGCUCCUCCGCUGCCGCCGGGAGAGUCGGCGACGCCGCCAGCUCUGCGCGC
ensembl:miRNA